UACGUAGGGGGCGAGCGUUGUCCGGAUUAUUGGGCGUAAAGAGCGUGUAGGCGGCCAGGUAGGUCUGCUGUGAAAACUCGAGGCUCAACCUCGAGACGUCGGCGGAAACCAUCUGGCUAGAGUCCGGAAGAGGAGAGUGGAAUUCCUGGUGUAGCGGUGAAAUGCGCAGAUAUCAGGAAGAACACCCGUGGCGAAGGCGGCUCUCUGGGACGGUACUGACGCUGAGACGCGAAAGCGUGGGGAGCAAACAGG
rnacentral:rRNA from 1 species